GGUUCCAUAGUGUAGCAGUUAGCACGUCUGCUUUACAUGCAGAAGGUCCUGGGUUCGUGCCCCAGUGGAGCCA
rnacentral:tRNA from 1 species